UACAGAGGUCUCAAGCGUUGUUCGGAUUCAUUGGGCGUAAAGAGCUCGUAGGCGGUGUGUCGCGUCGGCCGUGAAAACCUGCAGCUUAACUGUGGGCUUGCGGUCGAUACGGGCAUCACUGGAGUUCGGCAGGGGAGACUGGAAUUCCUGGUGUAGCGGUGAAAUGCGCAGAUAUCAGGAGGAACACCGGUGGCGAAGGCGGGUCUCUGGGCCGAUACUGACGCUGAUGCGCGAAAGCUAGGGGAGCGAACGGG
rnacentral:rRNA from 1 species